rnacentral:lncRNA from 1 species
CAACACACAUCGUCGCUGCCACCUCCAAAAUUGCCUACUCCAAAACCACCCACCACCUCGACUUACAACUCCAAUCAACCACCGAACAACCAUAACAACCGCCUGCUAAAAUCCACCAUUUCUUCCAAAACUACCACCCAUAGAAACCAACCACUAUACAACCACCAUCGCCAUCGUCACAUCUACAGUCAAACCACCACCUCACCGCCAGCACCAUAAAAACUACUGCUCUAAUAGCUACUACAACACUCAAAGCGUCAAAUGCUGAGAUCGGCGCUGAGCGCGCGCAGCUACGAACUGAGCAUCAAAAGCACAAAAGCAAUGGCGGGAUGCUAGUUGCUUCAAAGUGUCAUCAGCACUGUCUACGAAAUCUUCGAUGGUGAUUUGUGAUAGAGAGAUGGGAGAGAAUAUCGAAAAUGAAGCGGGUCGAGAGAAAAAAGAUAAGAAAAAAGAUUAGGG